rfam:Triticum aestivum genome assembly, contig: Triticum_aestivum_CS42_TGACv1_scaffold_569469_7AS
CGUCUACUCCCUUCAUUCCGAAUUACUUGUCGCAAGUACGGAUGUAUCUAGAUGCAUCUUAGUUCUAGAUACAUCCAUUUCUACGACAAGUAAUUUGGAACGAAGGGAGUAAUAC